rnacentral:lncRNA from 1 species
GUUUUAGGUUAAGGAAAUAUGGAUAUACGAACUUUUCAAUUGAUGAUUUUUCAUUAGAAUAGCGAGUUGUAUAGUAAUUACAUAGCGUAAACCCUAGUAUACAAGGUUUAAUUGAGUUGACCGGUUUGAAUUGUUGACUUUGUUUGACUUUGACUUGACCAGAAUUUGACGGUUGUCACAUCAUCCCCCCGUUAGAAGGAAUUUCGUCCUGAAAUUUGCAUUUUGGCUGGGACUUCAAGAGUUCAGGAAGAGAUGUGGGUAUUUUUGUUUCAUUUGAUCCUCGCGUUCACAGGUGAACUCGGGUCCUCGUUUUGCAUUCCAACGAACCUUCACAAUGGGAAUACAACUUUGCUUUGUUCUUUUGAUCUCCUGGUUCAUGAUCUCAACCGGUUCUUCCACGAAGUGGAGAUUCUCGUGAACUUCGAUUUCCUCAAGUGGUAUUACGAGGGUCUCAUCGGAUAGACACUUUUUCAAGUUUGAUACGUGGAAUGUAGGGUGUACGUUGUUAAGUUCUUGUGGUAGCCGGAGUUUGUACGCCACAGGAUCAAUCCUGGCAAGGAUUUCGAACAGUCCGAUGUACCUUGGGUUUAGUUUCCCGCGUUUACUGAAACGUAUCAUUCCUUUCCAAGGGGAAACUUUCAGUAGUACCCGAUCACCGACCUGGAAUUCCAAGGGUUUGCGUCGCUUAUCCGCGUAACUCUUUUGCCGAUCUCGGGAUG